AGCGAACGCUGGCGGCAGGCCUAACACAUGCAAGUCGAACGAACCCUUCGGGUUAGUGGCAGACGGGUGAGUAACACGUGGGAACGUGCCCUUUGGUUCGGAACAACUCAGGGAAACUUGAGCUAAUACCGGAUGAGCCCUACGGGGGAAAGAUUUAUCGCCAUUGGAGCGGCCCGCGUCUGAUUAGCUAGUUGGUGAGGUAAAGGCUCACCAAGGCUACGAUCAGUAGCUGGUCUGAGAGGAUGAUCAGCCACAUUGGGACUGAGACACGGCCCAAACUCCUACGGGAGGCAGCAGUGGGGAAUCUUGCGCAAUGGGCGAAAGCCUGACGCAGCCAUGCCGCGUGGAUGAUGAA
rnacentral:rRNA from 1 species